rnacentral:misc_RNA from 1 species
GAUGAAGAACGUAGUGAAAUGCGAUACUUGGUGUGAAUUGCAGAAUCCCGUGAACCAUCGAGUCUUUGAACGCAAGUUGCGCCCGAAGCCAUUAGGCCGAGGGCACGCCUGCCUGGGCGUCACACGUCGUUGCCCCCCCAUCUACUCCUUCGGGAUUGCGAGGGGCGGAUGAUGGCCUCCCGUGCGCCUCGUCGCGCGGUUGGCAUAAAUGCCAAGUCCUCGGCGACGCACGCCACGACAAUCGGUGGUUGCGAAACCUCGGUUGCCCGUCGUGUGCGUUCGUCGCGCAUCGAGGGCUCGAAAAAAUGCUCGGCUCCGGCUGGGCUUUCAACGCGACCCCAGGUCAGGCGGGGUUACCCGCUGAAUUUAAGCAUAUCAAUAAGCGGAGGA